GCACGGCUGAGGAGUUGCAGAAUAAGACGAAGCGGCCGUCCAGUGC
rnacentral:hammerhead_ribozyme from 1 species